GGAAGUUCCGGCGAGUGUUUGUGUGUGUGUGGUAGUGCUCUUGGACAGAUCACCGGACAAGGUGGAGGUGGCACUGGACUCCAGGAUGCAGUGCAUCCAGUUCCAGCUGAAAAUGGAUGCUGUGGUCACUCGAAAAACCAAUUGACCGAAAGAUUAAGCGAAGGAUUGUGUGUGUGUUGGUGCCUUUGGACAAAUCACUGAAUCACAGGAUAUAUAUGGAGCCUUUGCAAUGAUUGCUGAAUAAGUACAUAUAUGGAGGUCUCAUCAUUCAAGACAGCAGAGCACCGAAAACUUAUUCAGGUAUUUAUGAUGAGGAUUUUCUGAAACAAGUAUAUUAUAUACUAUUGGAAAUGAAAACAGCUGACAAGGCCAUCCAUUGGGUGCAGCUCGAGUUGAAGUAGCUUCUCCGUUAGCUGCUCAAUUUGUCGAUGCUGCGUUCAAGAGUGCUCGCUGUGCUUCAAGUGGCAAUUGUGCACCACCACCCACCAGCCACCACCCACCACCUGCAACUUGCACCCACCGACAGGUGGUUUAGAAGGGGGGAGUGGGAUAUAUAAAUAACGAUGACGCUGGGUGGAAGAAAAAUAUGCACAGAACAGAAAUAAAUGAAACGAGAGCGUGACCCGUCGCCCCGUAUAAAAUAUAUCGUGAUGUCACAUUGCCACUGCAAUGUCCUUGGCAGGUCACCACCCCCCUGCGCCUGCCACGCCCCCUAAGACUGAAAGGCAGACAGUGGGACAUGUAAUUGUAGCAGACUGUGCCAAAAACAGCGGCAACAAAGCCGUUUUCCUUACCCACCGCCCGCUUUUGGCCAACAAUGGACAAGGACGAAGAAUAACACACCACCCACCGCCCACCGCCACCCACUUUUGCAAAGGAAAAUGGGAAAACGAAGCUGCAGCUGUCAACUGUCGCGCUUGC